rnacentral:rRNA from 1 species
UACGUAGGGUGCGAGCGUUGUCCGGAUUUAUUGGGCGUAAAGAGCUCGUAGGCGGUUUGUCGCGUCGGCCGUGAAAUCUCCACGCUUAACGUGGAGCGUGCGGUCGAUACGGGCAGACUUGAGUUCGGUAGGGGAGACUGGAAUUCCUGGUGUAGCGGUGAAAUGCGCAGAUAUCAGGAGGAACACCGGUGGCGAAGGCGGGUCUCUGGGCCGAUACUGACGCUGAGGAGCGAAAGCGUGGGGGAGCGAACAGG